rnacentral:rRNA from 1 species
GACGAACGCUGGCGGCGUGCUUUAGGCAUGCAAGUCGAACGCGAAAGCCCCUUCGGGGGUGAGUAGAGUGGCGAACGGGUGAGUAACACGUGGGUAACCUGCCCCUCGCAGGGGGAUAACCGGGGGAAACCCCGGCUAAUACCCCGUACGCUUGCUGGGGCGCAUGCUCCGGCAAGGAAAGGUAGCUUCGGCCAUCCGGCGAGGGAGGGGCCCGCGGCCCAUUAGCUAGUUGGUGGGGUAACGGCCCACCAAGGCGACGAUGGGUAGCUGGCCUGAGAGGGUGGUCAGCCACACUGGGACUGAGACACGGCCCAGACCCCGACGGGAGGCAGCAGCCAGGAAUCUUGCGCAAUGGGCGAAAGCCUGACGCAGCAACGCCGCGUGGGCGAUGAAGGCCUUCGGGUCGUAAAGCCCUGUUGUCGGGGACGAAGGGCGAAGGGUUAAUAGCCCCUAGCCUGACGGUACCCGACGAGGAAGCCCCGGCUAACUACGUG